rnacentral:rRNA from 1 species
GUGCGGAGUGCGCCGAGUGGGUCGAUGUCGCUGCCGGAAGGGCGUAUAGAGGACUCGGGUUUUCGGACUCGAGAAUCCUGUGCGUUCGGAUAGCAGGUGAUGUUGGCUCGCUGUUGUGGAGUGCGGGUGAAUUCGCGAUGGGCGUCGGUUGUGAGUUGUGGUUGCGGAUGGCACAUGUGUCUUCCGUUUCCGCGGCCUACGAUCGGCGUUCGUUGCCCCGGCACUCGACUCGGUGUAUAGUCGGUCACCCAUUCGACCCGUCUUGAAACACGGACCAAGGAGUUUAAGGUGACGCGAGUCUUGAGCUGCGAAACUCAAAGGCGUAUGAAAGUGAGACUUGGAUGUCGACGAUUGAGCGGGGGCUUUCGAGUCCGGGCGCAAAUCGCCCCGUGACUGGACUUGUUCUGUUCGGAGGUUGAGCGUACGCUUUGAGACCCGA